UAGGGGAGAGAGUUGAAAGUUGCCGUUGAUCAGCGCCUCAGAGCGCUUCCCGGAUUGUUGUGGUCGCGUGCGCAAUGUGUUGCUGUAACAUGUUCCCGUCGAAAGCGGAUCUAUUUGAAAAUUUCUUGCCUGAAGCGAAGCCUCUGGCGGUAUUUCCAUCAGCCAUAGCGCGGAACCCCGAAAGUGCUUCAGCUUCGUUACAGUGCCGAAGGACGUCACGUCAAGGAAAGCGCCGCGCGAGCGCUACGAAGACAAGUGUCCACUACCACGACCUCGACUACGAUACAAACCACUCUGAAGUGUUAAACCCGCUGUCAUUUGUUGGCAAGUUUGUGGUAAGGUGACAACCUUUUGAAUGUUGCAGCUUGCGUCGUUGAUUACCGAGCAACUGCCACAAGUCAAGUCAAAAGCAGGGACAGCAUUUCAGUCACUCUAGAGGAAGGUGUCAGUGUCUGGAAGUGCGUUCAGUGUGACUUCGUGUUUCACAGUGAGACCUUGUUAGUGGAGCAUGAGCAACUGCAGCAUCCAGUGCUUGGCCUUUCACAGUAUGUGUGCUGUUUCUGCCCGGCUGUGUUUCGCCACAAUAACCGCCUGCUGUGCCACCUCCAGAAACACAGCAGUCGUGAAACCACCUUCAACUGCUUCUUGUGCGCUGGGUGCUUAGCGAGUGAGCAGAACCUUCUACGCCAUGUCAAGACGGUGCACAACGACGGUGCUGACAGAUUCCACUGCCAUCUCCGCCUUCAGAGGUUCUCCCACAAGGACGCCCUGAAGGUGCACAUCCGCAAAAACCGGAGCGACACUGCCAAAGCAAACUUGUGAUGCUUCACACAGGGUUUCUGUGAAGUGUGUGAUCAGUGGUGCUGGCAUUGUUGCGAGUGGCAUUUGUGUUGGUGCCCUGUGUGCUACACUGUGGUGAAGGUGACGUGCAGCUGUGUAGAGUCUUCCGGGGCCAAGUUUUGUGCGAGUACAACCUUAUUGGAGGACACCAGCCUUGCUUGUCCCUGUCCCAGCACAUCCGACGAGAGCUGCGGGCACUGACACUACAGAUGACGCUUCCCCAAGCCGACUGGCACAGCAACCACCUCGAAGCAUGGGCUGCCACAGGCAUGGCUGCAAGCCAACCUGUAGACAGUGGCAGGCCCUCAGAAGCUGACAGGACCGACGCCUUGAUGUGCAGCCAUUGUGGCUUCAUGAGCUACAGCGAAGCUGGCCUUGUGGAGCAUCAGCGAGUCCUCCACACAGGGCCUCUCCUUGACCCAGUGGCAGGUUACCGGUGCCAGUUUUGCCCAUGCUCGUUCUCGCACCGCGACCGCCUGCUGUGCCACCUGGAGAAGCACACCGGCUUGGGUUUCCUGCGCUGCUUUGUCUGUGGAAAGAAAUUUUCGAGUAUGAACCACCUGGUGCGCCACGUCAAGACGACGCACAGCAGAGUCAAGCGCUUCCCCUGCCACCUGUGCCCGAGCAAGUUCUCGCGCAAGGACACCCUUGUUGCGCACAUUCGGAAGCACCAGAUCGACAUUGCCAAGCAUUGAUAUGGUGGACUAGAGCCAUGUUUCAUGAAAAUGCAUCAGCUGAGCAUGGUGAGCAGUGCAAAUGACAGGACAAAAUGGUGAGAGCUGUUUGCUACUUGUCUGUGAAACAUGAAGGUUUGCCUCUGAAGACCAUGCAUCUACCAGAUUGCAUGAAAAAAUAUUUUUUUAUUUUAUGAUGUUCAGUCAGUAAACAGUGUGCCAGCUGCUUUUAUUAGAGUUGUGUUUGUUGUUGAGAGUACUGCCUGCUGUAAAAUAUACACUUCAUUAUAUCUGAUAAUUUGUUAUAUCCAUAUUUUUUAUAGCAGGGUUCGAUUGUAUUUGUGAUUGACAGAGAAAUGUUAUGCACAAAUGCCCAUUUGUUUUCCCAAACCAGGGCCUCACCCAUAUGGUGUACGAGCACAAAUUACAGGUUAAGGUAUGGUUUAGCAAUGACUUUAAUGUGACCAUAAUUGCCCGUUUUUGUACUUUGUCUCGAUGUACCCCUAUUAUUGCUUUUAGCACUUGAAGUUUCUUUUCUGCGGUGCUCUUUUUGCUUUGAAAGCACAUUAAGUGACUUCUUACUGCGAGAUGAGACAGCACUGGCCAAUGCUGUUGCUAAUGGCAACGCCCCUUCCAAAGUGACCAAGCAAAUAAGCACUUGCAUUGUAAAUGUUACUUGAACCUUCAAGGGCCUUUCUUUAUCUGCCUGAUACUGGCUAGCGAUGCCAGAGAAAAGAUGUUUCCUUCUUUGACAGGGAACAUGCGAUUCCAUUUUACACUGCGGGCAUUGUUUGGAAGGCAUAACAUUUUGAGGAAGGUGUACCAAGCAGUGGUGCUUGGAUGUCCUGUUGAUUGUGCUGCGUGUGUGCAAAGAAUUGUGCAAAGAUCGCUGAAACUGCUGUCAACUGUAGUUAGGUUGUCCUUUUUGAGCUCCUCUGCUUCUUUUCUGGUUGUACAAAUACACCAGCCAACGGUGGCUCACCUGAAAUCUGUAAUACAUGAGCACAAAAUUUUGCUCCUCUGCAAUAAAGUUUGCCUAUCACACCGCCCUGCCCUGCAUGUAUCAUUUAAAUAAGUGUAUGCAAGGUUAUAUAUACUCACGUGCUCGUGUGAGUAUAUGAGGUGAUAUAUACUCGCGUGUGUAUGCACGUGUGACAAAACGAGAAACAUUUUGCGAAGAAACGAGUCACAGCAAUGUAAAAAAAGUGCUUAAAUAAGAGUUCUUAAGAAGGGUUCCCAAUUCAUCUCGUGCGUG